CAGCAGCCACGGGAAUACGUGGGUGGCAAGCGUUGUCCGGAAUUACUGGGCGUAAAGCGUGCGCAGGCGGUUCGUUAAGACAGAUGUGAAAUCCCCGGGCUUAACCUGGGAACUGCAUUUGUGACUGGCGAGCUAGAGUAUGGCAGAGGGGGGUAGAAUUCCACGUGUAGCAGUGAAAUGCGUAGAGAUGUGGAGGAAUACCGAUGGCGAAGGCAGCCCCCUGGGCCAAUACUGACGCUCAUGCACGAAAGCGUGGGGAGCAAACAGGAUUAGAUACCCCUGUAGUCCCUGUCUCUUAUAC
rnacentral:rRNA from 1 species